rnacentral:snRNA from 1 species
AUACUUAACUGACAGGGGAGAUGCCAUGAUCAAGAAGGUUGAGGCUCAUCUACAUACUUGGUAUGUGCUGACCCUUGUUGUUUCCUCGGCUGCAGGAAACACUGCAUAAUUUGUGUAAGUGGGGAACUCUAAGUUCUCCCUG